rnacentral:rRNA from 1 species
UUGAACGCUGGCGGUAUGCUUAACACAUGCAAGUCGAACGGAAACGAUACUAGCUUGCUAGUAGGCGUCGAGUGGCGGACGGGUGAGUAACGCGUAGGAAUCUGCCUGAUAGUGGGGGAUAGCCCGAAGAAAUUCGGAUUAAUACCGCAUAAUCUAUUCGUAGUAAAGUGGGGGACUUUCGAGCCUCACGCUAUCAGAUGAGCCUGCGUAAGAUUAGCUAGUUGGUAGGGUAAAAGCCUACCAAGGCUACGAUCUUUAGCUGGUCUGAGAGGAUGAUCAGCCACAUCGGGACUGAGACACGGCCCGAACUCCUACGGGAGGCAGCAGUGGGGAAUAUUGGACAAUGGGGGCAACCCUGAUCCAGCAAUACCGCGUGUGUGAAGAAGGCCUGAGGGUUGUAAAGCACUUUCAAUUGUGAAGAAAAGUUAACGGUUAAUAACCGUUAGCCUUGACGUUAACUUUAGAAGAAGCACCGGCUAACUCCGUGCCAGCAGCCGCGGUAAUACGGAGGGUGCAAGCGUUAAUCGGAAUUACUGGGCGUAAAGCGUGCGUAGGCGGUUUAUUAAGUCAGAUGUGAAAGCCCCGGGCUUAACCUGGGAACUGCAUUUGAAACUGGUCAACUAGAGUAUGGUAGAGGAAAGUGGAAUUUCUGGUGUAGCGGUGAAAUGCGUAGAUAUCAGAAGGAACAUCAAUGGCGAAGGCAGCUUUCUGGACCAAUACUGACGCUGAGGUACGAAAGCGUGGGUAGCAAACAGGAUUAGAUACCCUGGUAGUCCACGCCGUAAACGAUGAUAACUAGCCGUUGGGGGGAUUUACCCUUUAGUGGCGAAGCUAACGCGUUAAGUUAUCCGCCUGGGGAGUACGGCCGCAAGGUUAAAACUCAAAGGAAUUGACGGGGACCCGCACAAGCGGUGGAGCAUGUGGUUUAAUUCGAUGCAACGCGAAGAACCUUACCUGGUCUUGACAUCCUGCGAACUUUCUAGAAAUAGAUUGGUGCCUUCGGGAACGCAGUGACAGGUGCUGCAUGGCUGUCGUCAGCUCGUGUCGUGAGAUGUUGGGUUAAGUCCCGUAACGAGCGCAACCCCUAUCCUUAUUUGCCAGCACGUCAUGGUGGGAACUAUAAGGAGACUGCCGGUGAUAAACCGGAGGAAGGCGGGGACGACGUCAAGUCAUCAUGGCCCUUACGACCAGGGCUACACACGUGCUACAAUGGGAAGGACAAAGAGCCGCGAAGCCGCGAGGUGUAGCUAAUCUCAGAAACCUUUUCGUAGUCCGGAUUGGAGUCUGCAACUCGACUCCAUGAAGUCGGAAUCGCUAGUAAUCGUAGAUCAGAAUGCUACGGUGAAUACGUUCCCGGGUCUUGUACACACC